rnacentral:rRNA from 1 species
CUUGGGCAUUUAGAGGAAGUAAAAGUCGUAACAAGGUCUCCGUAGGUGAACCUGCGGAGGGAUCAUUACACAAAUAUGAAGGCGGGCUGGAACCUCUCGGGGUUACAGCCUUGCUGAAUUAUUCACCCUUGUCUUUUGCGUACUUCUUGUUUCCUUGGUGGGUUCGCCCACCACUAGGACAAACAUAAACCUUUUGUAAUUGCAAUCAGCGUCAGUAACAAAUUAAUAAUUACAACAUUCAACAACGGAUCUCUUGGUUCUGGCAUCGAUGAAGAACGCAGCGAAAUGCGAUAAGUAGUGUGAAUUGCAGAAUUCAGUGAAUCAUCGAAUCUUUGAACGCACAUUGCGCCCUUUGGUAUUCCAAAGGGCAUGCCUGUUCGAGCGUCAUUUGUACCCUCAAGCUUUGCUUGGUGUUGGGCGUCUUGUCUCUAGCUUUGCUGGAGACUCGCCUUAAAGUAAUUGGCAGCCGGCCUACUGGUUUCGGAGCGCAGCACAAGUCGCACUCUCUAUCAGCAAAGGUCUAGCAUCCAUUAAGCCUUUUUUUCAACUUUUGACCUCGGAUCAGGUAGGGAUACCCGCUGAACUUAAGCAUAUCAAUAAGCGGAGGAAAAGAAACCAACAGGGAUUGCCCUAGUAACGGCGAGUGAAGCGGCAACAGCUCAAAUUUGAAAUCUGGCUCUUUUAGAGUCCGAGUUGUAAUUUGCAGAGGGCGCUUUGGCUUUGGCAGCGGUCC